UACGAAAGGGACUAGCGUUGUUCGGAAUUACUGGGCGUAAAGCGCACGUAGGCGGCCUUGUAAGUUGGGGGUGAAAUCCCGGAGCUCAACUCCGGAACUGCCUUCAAGACUGCAAAGCUCGAGGACGCGAGAGGUUAGCGGAAUUCCGAGUGUAGAGGUGAAAUUCGUAGAUAUUCGGAAGAACACCAGUGGCGAAGGCGGCUAAGUGGCGCGGUUCUGACGCUGAGGUGCGAAAGCGUGGGGAGCAAACAGG
rnacentral:rRNA from 1 species